UACGAAGGGGGCUAGCGUUGCUCGGAUUGACUGGGCGUAAAGGGCGCGUAGGCGGUCUGUACAGUCAGGCGUGAAAUUCCUGGGCUCAACCUGGGGGCUGCAUUUGAUACGUGUGGGCUUGAGUGCGGAAGAGGGUCGUGGAAUUCCCAGUGUAGAGGUGAAAUUCGUAGAUAUUGGGAAGAACACCGGUGGCGAAGGCGGCGACCUGGUCCGUGACUGACGCUGAGGCGCGAAAGCGUGGGGAGCAAACAGG
rnacentral:rRNA from 1 species